UGGUGGGUAGUUUGACUGGGGCGGUCUCCUCCCAAAGCGUAACGGAGGAGCACGAAGGUUAGCUAAUCCUGGUCGGACAUCAGGAGGUUAGUGCAAUGGCAUAAGCUAGCUUGACUGCGAGCGUGACGGCGCGAGCAGGUGCGAAAGCAGGUCAUAGUGAUCCGGUGGUUCUGAAUGGAAGGGCCAUCGCUCAACGGAUAAAAGGUACUCCGGGGAUAACAGGCUGAUACCGCCCAAGAGUUCAUAUCGACGGCGGUGUUUGGCACCUCGAUGUCGGCUCAUCACAUCCUGGGGCUGAAGUAGGUCCCAAGGGUAUGGCUGUUCGCCAUUUAAAGUGGUACGCGAGCUGGGUUUAGAACGUCGUGAGACAGUUCGGUCCCUAUCUGCCGUGGGCGCUGGAGAAUUGAGGGGGGCUGCUCCUAGUACGAGAGGACCGGAGUGGACGCAUCACUGGUGUUCGGGUUGUCAUGCCAAUGGCACUGCCCGGUAGCUAAAUGCGGAAGAGAUAAGUGCUGAAAGCAUCUAAGC
rnacentral:rRNA from 1 species